rnacentral:rRNA from 1 species
GGUGAACGCUGGCGGCGUGCUUAAGACAUGCAAGUCGAACGAAGUCUUCGGACUUAGUGGCGGACGGGUGAGUAACACGUGGGAACGUGCCUUUAGGUUCGGAAUAACUCAGGGAAACUUGUGCUAAUACCGAAUGUGCCCUUCGGGGGAAAGAUUUAUCGCCUUUAGAGCGGCCCGCGUCUGAUUAGCUAGUUGGUGAGGUAAAGGCUCACCAAGGCGACGAUCAGUAGCUGGUCUGAGAGGAUGAUCAGCCACAUUGGGACUGAGACACGGCCCAAACUCCUACGGGAGGCAGCAGUGGGGAAUCUUGCGCAAUGGGCGAAAGCCUGACGCAGCCAUGCCACGUGAAUGAUGAAGGCCUUAGGGUUGUAAAGCUCUUUCAGUGGGGACGAUAAUGACGGUACCCACAGAAGAAGCCCCGGCUAACUUCGUGCCAGCCGCCGCCGUAACAC